GCAUCUCGCUUACACUGAGAAGUCAUCUGUGAAAAUCAGAUUGCCUU
rnacentral:tRNA from 1 species